rfam:Triticum urartu cultivar G1812 contig1234250, whole genome shotgun sequence.
AUACUUUUCUCGGGCUUUUGGCUAAGAUGAAAUGAUCUGUUCUUAUCAAUUUAAUAUCUGAUAUAUGAGAUACAUCCUUGCAAUGAUAUUAAAAUUUAUUUUUUAUGAAGAAGAACCCACAACAAUAGCUUGCUAUUGGGGUCCUUAUGGGUCGCUAAGGCUUUGCACUACUGUCUAGACAAGGUGCACCCCAA